CACGUAGGGUGCGAGCGUUGUCCGGAAUUAUUGGGCGUAAAGAGCUCGUAGGCGGUGUGUCGCGUCGGCCGUGAAAACCUGCAGCUUAACUGUGGGCUUGCGGUCGAUACGGGCAUCACUGGAGUUCGGCAGGGGAGACUGGAAUUCCCGGUGUAGCGGUGAAAUGCUUAGAUAUCGGGAGGAACACCAGUGGCGAAGGCGGUGCGCUGGGCCGGAACUGACGCUGAGGAGCGAAAGCGUGGGUAGCAAACAGG
rnacentral:rRNA from 1 species